UACAGAGGGGGCGAGCGUUGUUCGGAAUUACUGGGCGUAAAGGGCGCGUAGGCGGCCCGCUAAGUCGAACGUGAAAUCCCCAGGCUCAACCUGGGAACUGCGUCCGAUACUGGCAGGCUUGAAUCCGGGAGAGGGAUGUGGAAGUUCCAGGUGUAGCGGUGAAAUGACGUAGAUAUCUGGAGGAACACCGGUGGCGAAGGCGGCAGUCCUGGAUCGGCAUUGACGCUGAGGAGCGAAAGCCAGGGAGCAAACGGG
rnacentral:rRNA from 1 species